rnacentral:rRNA from 1 species
CACCCGUUCCCAUCCCGAACACGGAAGUUAAGCCCUCCAGCGCCGAUGGUACUUGGGGCGCAGGCCCCUGGGAGAGUAGGACGUUGCCAGGC